rnacentral:rRNA from 1 species
GGAAUCUUCCACAAUGGGCGCAACCCUGACCGAGCAACGCCGCGUGAGUGAAGAAGGUUUUCGGAUCGUAAAGCUCUGUUGUAAGAGAAGAACGUGUGUGAGAGUGGAAAGUUCACACAGUGACGGUAACUUACCAGAAAGGGACGGCUAACUACGUGCCAG